UUUUAAUUUUUUUUUCAUUCAAAAAUUGAGAAACAACUGGACUCACGUCUCAUUCUAUCAUCUUCGCGUGCCUCUCAGCAAUUUUCUUCUCUCUGAUUUCAAAUGACAGUGCCUAGAGGAAGACGAACUUAACAAAUUUUCUUCUCUCUGAUUUCAAAUGACAGUGCCUAGGAGGAAGACGAACUAUUCUUCUCUCUGAUUUUUCUUUUCUCUCUGAUUUCUUCCUCUCGGUGUUUGCUCGAGAAAAACUCACGAAUCCCAACAGCACAAAGCACUCAUCUCCUCCUCAUUCUCCGUUCCGGUGCCGGUGGUGAGCUGUAAGGUUAGAUUAUCACACUUUGGGAAUUGAAUCAUUAUGCUGAAACCGAGUAAUUGUAGUAGCUAUGGGGACCACAUCAUGAAUGACAUUUCUUUCCUUCUCUUCUCUGUUAUGAUGAAAACGAAAAAUAUUAAAAUAUAGAAAGAUUAGAAGAUUCUGUUGAACAAUGAGUUUGAAGUAUGUAAAUACCUAGGGUUCAAGUCUUUGUCUCUUAGAGAGUAUAUUCAGGUGAUUACUUUAGUAAAAAUGUGUUGCGAUCACAUCAAUAUGCUUCAAAUUAUCUAACAUCCAGUUUUGUUAUGACUUAUGUAUUGGUUCUUCAGAGAGGAUGCAUAUCUAGUUAAGAUGCAGCAUACCGUAUUGUCACUUCCUCAUUUUUAUAUAAUAGUUAGUUCGUAUUACUGUUGGUAUUCUAUGAGCAAAGCUUGUUAAGUUUGAUUUUUUUGAUCACUUGGACCAUGCUUGAAUUGAUGAAAAAGGAUGAAACAUAGAGUAAUGGAAUGAUAUAAUAAUAGUUGUCGAUGCUUGUACUGUUUGAAAUGAAAUGCAAUUAGUUUGUGGAUUUGAGAAGGUUUGGUUGCAAAUAAUGAGAAGAAAACAGAAGAAAAUAAUCUCCAAGUGCUCAAAGGUUUUUUAAUAAGCACUCCUGUAAAGACUCCUUGCAGAAUUCUUUGUGGCAGGUAGGUAUGAUAGUAGGUUAUUGGAGCUAAAUAUAAGUUAUGUUUUUUUUUUGUGCUUUUUAUGUUUCAUAGUCUCUGUUUUCUAAUGUGCAGACAUUAAGUUAGAGAGCUUGUUUACUUUUGUACUCUUUCUUCUACGCUAAGGCAUUCACUUUUUACUUUAGGGAAAUGGUUCUUUGAAUGAGCUAAUCAGUGUAAAAAGGUUUUUGGUAGCGUUGGAUGAAUUGGGAUUGUCUGGAUUUGAAUUGUCAGACUAGAGCAGGUAUAAGAAGUUCUGUUAUGCAAUGUAGUUUGAGAGAUUGUCAUUUAUGUACAUGAAUUUAAUUGGUUGUCCUUGACUAGAUGGGUUGGCUAGAUAAAUACCUCAUUUGUCCGUACAUAGGAAAUAGAAGGUUUGUUUCAUCUUUGUCGCAUAAUGAAGGAGAAUCACUGAACAAUUUGAUUAUGAUAUCUAUUAUUUUAUGGUUGAGGUUAUGUAUACUUCAAUUUGUUUCUUUAAUGCUGGAACUGGACUUUGUCUAAUAAAAUAAACUGGUUGGCCCUGUCCGAAUAUGAUUCUCAAUUUCCAUUUUUCUUUAGUAAACGUGGCAAGUUUUGUCCUAGUAAUUUAAUCUUGAGGUUUGAGAAUGUAUGCAGGGAUCAAUGGUGCCUUUGUUGCAACGUCUUGAAACUCUAAAAAUUCAUUUUUCUUAUAAUGCUGCACGAGAAAAUAUCCAAAGUUAUUCUAUAAAGAGAUGGGACCAGUCAAAUCUAAUGUCCUCAAAGGAAAGUAAUAGUUGCCUCAUGCUUCAAAUUUUCAACAUGCUUUUGAUGGUUCUCUUGGAUCAGUCGAUUCCUGAAGAAGAUGGCCGCAUUCAGAACGUAUCGCAUUCUCGUAAGCCAUCUACUGAUACAAGCUUUGGGUCUGGAACUGAUGUGGCAUAGUGGAACGUCCUUCAAUUCAAUACGGGUAAUACUUCCUCAUUUAUAAUAAAAUGUGGAGCAAACUCAAAUUCAGAACUUAUCAUUAAAGCCGAGGCUAGAGUUUAGGAACCUAAAGGAGGUGAGAUUGUGAGGGUUGCCCCAAGGCCGUCCAUUUUAGAAAAUUUGAGCUUGGAAGAAAUGAAACAAGUAUUUGCUGAACUACCCGAGGCUUUAAGAUUGCUUGCCCUAGCAAGGACUGCAGAUGGAACUCGAGCACGAUAUUCUAGAUUAUAUAGGACCUUGGCUAUGAAGGUUCCAUCACUUAGGGAUCUGGUAAGUGAGUUUGAAAAAGGGGGUGCACUGAAAGAUUUGAGGAUGUGAAAUUUUAAGAGGAAAAAUGUUUAUGAAAUUCACCUUGUAUGCCUUGAGUUGCUUGCAUGUGAGGCAUCGGUUUGGGGGCACGGGCCAUUGAGUGUUGAGGAACCAUUGUGUGCAUCAUGUACAACUAUUAUUUUGUAUGCUUGUUAGUGUAUUUAAUAGUAAUUAUCACAGUUUUUUUAUACUGCAGAUUUUGUUUAUCAAGUCUAAUUAAAUCCAAAGAACGAGGCUUAUUUUUUUCACUUGAUGAUUGAUAAUUAAAGAAAGUUUAGACAGUUGAGACUUGAUUUUCUUUCGGACUUCUAUAUGGGAGGAUCUUCGAUAUUCUUGAGUGUUGGGAAACCAUUGUGUGUGCAUCAUGUACAACUAUUAUCUUGUACGUUUGUUUUUGUACUUGUAAUUAUCAGUUUUUUUAUACUGCAGUUUUGCUUAUCAAGACUAAUCAAUCCAAAGAACGAGUCUUAUUUUUUUUACUUGAUGAUUGAUAAUUAAAGGUUUAAAACUUGAUUUUCAUUUGAACUUUCUAUGCAAGAGCAUUUAAUACUCGGAAAUAGAUCAAUUUGAAUAUUGCAAAUUAAAUAUGAUUAACACUCGGAAAUAGAUAAUUUUUCAUUUUUA